AUCAUACCCUAUCCAAUAAUAAAGAAAUUUGAAUUUGAAUGGUAACAAUUCCGUUAAAUCCUCGUCCUCGUUUUGAUAGUCUCACUCAUGGCCGAUCAGUGUGUUCUUUCUGAUUAGCUCUUAAUUGAGAUCACCUGUCACGCACCCCUUUAUAAAAGGUGGACACAAUGGGUUUGGUUUACUUUUCGCAUCAGCCUGUGUCAAUCGAGGUUGAGUUUAGUGAGGGUUGAAAGUUUUCGAUCUAGAUUGUAGAUCACUAUUGUCACUUUAUACAAACUGAAAGUAUGCGUUGUUGCGUGUUUGUUUUUGUGGGCAUUUGACUGAACAGCCCAGACAAAUAUUGCUACCAACAUGGCACUUCGAAACAGACCACCGCAGUGUUAGAUGACUGAAAAGAUCUAUGUGGGGGGGCCCCCUUUGGGCCCCCCCAUACCAACUUAGUCUUCAAAGGAAUCUAGUGCCAUGGGACUCCAGUGUCUUCAAAACAUCCUCGGAAUACAUGUGUAUGAAUGGUCCACCGAAGGGUUGAUCUGGAAGCCACCACGGUCCACGCAGUAAUCCGCUGCGUCGGCCGUAGUGGCUUCCAGAGCCAUCUUUCGGUCUUGGUCAGGAUUUGUUGCAGUUGCCCUUCAAUGUAGCAGGCUACGGGUUUCUGAAGAAGCCUGCUUUACGUAGCAUUGGAGUACAAAUAUUGUGCAAAAUGCUCAUGUAAUUGCACCAGCACUGGUAACCUGUAGAUCAGCUUAGUUUAACGUCAUUCCGUGCUGUCUGUCAAAUGUGUGGCUUACUUUAAGUCCACAAGGCCCUCUGGUAAACCCCGUUGGAACACCCCUGGACAAGGUGAUUAGUCACUGGGUGUGUGCUAAAGUUUUGUUCCAUUUUUCACUAGUUGGUUAAGGUUUGGUAGAAUUGUUUGGAUGCUAGCGACGUGAUGGCGUAUGUACAAGAGCCUACCGUGGCCAGGCCACAGUUGCGACGGCCACGGCCAGAUGGCCUAGUGUGAGUGCAACCUUGAUUGCAUUUGUAUACUGUUUACCAUUGGAUGUUUAUGCAAUUUGGAUUAAUUCAUCCGCUGUAAAGCUGCAUUUGACUAUUCCAGGGUCGUUCUGUACAGGCUUUCAAUUGACCAUGUUGACUAGUUUGUGGGAAGUUUAAUUUUUUUUUUUUUUACCCUUGCUUACUGUGAGAAGGUGAAAUCCUCCCCCUUCUCACUGUCUCACAUUAGAGAAAUUAUUAUUAUUAUAUUGUGUGUGUAUAUAUUAUAUUGGGCUGGUGUGAGAUUGGUCUUCCGUCCCGGUAGGGGGCAGUAUGCUAAGGGAGCUUAGGAUCAGAGUAUCAGGGAAUAGCCCAGGGGGGGGUUUAUAGAAACAGCUGUUUUGUAAAUAGGUUGUGCACAGGGUGUGGGUAUAAAUGUAUUUGAUUGUUUAUUUAGUGUCAUGUUUAUUUAGUAUUCACACAAUGUACUUUCUGUUCAGUUAUGUUGGAUUGGUAGCUUUAGGUAAAUAAUGUUCCCCCAACUAAUGGUCUGGCCCGUACGGCCGUGAUUGGUCCAAUUGCCAUUUCCCUAUUUAAGGGCUUUCUCAUUUGGUGUUUGGGGCGGAAGGUGGUGCUGGCUUGACGUGAGGCCAGUACGAGAGACGUAUGGUUAGGUUAGGCUAUGCUAUGUUAUAUUUUCUUAGUGUAUGUUUGCUGACGGAUGCAGUCAUUUCCUUUUCAUUUGAAACGUUGCUCUAUUUUUUGUGAAUGUUUUGGAGAUAUUAAAACGUCACUUUUUCUUAGACCUCAGUCCAUCGCCCCAUUUUUUGCCCGCACUCGAAAUUCCCAGUUGGCUGUAUCCCAGAUACGUGGGGCGACCACGCCGGUCCCUCACACUUACAAUCCAACGGUUGCGACCACUUAUGCAACUGGGCUGUGAACCUUGCAAAUCUAGUUGCAUAUUUGUACACGCAAGCUUGUCCAUUUCUAUCACCAUCACUAACACUAGCUUCAGCAUUUCCUUGUAGGCCAUUAGCUGAAUUGUGUAUUGGAGCGAUGAUUUGGGUAUUUUAAGAUGCUUGAAAACCUCAAAUAAAGCAAAAUGCGUGUCUGGUGUGCAAGAGCCAAUUUGUUGGCUUGCAGUAGUCGAGGAGUUGCCGUAGGUCGUAAGCCAUCUGGAGGUUGUGGCAAUGGAGGCUUGUGGUAGAUCUGCCAUCCAAGAAAGGUUAAUUCUUCUGAAGCAUGAUUAAUAGUUUAGUAAAUUGAAUCUAUUCAUAUAGAACUAUAAAAUCCAAGACUGCAGCCAGUAACUUGGAUCGCAAUAUGUGGAAAGUAUUAGUCUUAAUUUGUUAGAAUGAAUAAUUAACAUGACUAACUGGGUUUCUUCCAUUUUCUAACUAUGGGGACUUGACUGGUGAGUCUACUGGAUUAAUCAGUAGUGGUAAUUAGCCCAACAGAUUUGAUGGCAUGACUACAGGGUGACAAAGACAAUUAUUC